UACGAAGGGGGCUAGCGUUGUUCGGAAUCAUUGGGCGUAAAGGGCGCGUAGGUGGCCCGGUCAGUUCGUGGUGAAAGCGCGGGGCUCAACCCUGCGUCGGCCAUGAAUACUGCCGCGGCUGGAGCACUGUAGAGGCAGGCGGAAUUCCGGGUGUAGCGGUGGAAUGCGUAGAGAUCCGGAAGAACACCGGUGGCGAAGGCGGCCUGCUGGGCAGUUGCUGACACUGAGGCGCGACAGCGUGGGGAGCAAACAGG
rnacentral:rRNA from 1 species